CAUUGUCUCAUGAACACUAUAUGAGAUAGUACCUGCCCAGUGACACAGCGUUCAACGGCCGCGGUAUCCUAACCGUGCAAAGGUAGCAUAAUCACUUGCCUAUUAAUUGUAGGCUAGAAUGAAGGGGUUAACGAAAUAAAGACUGUCUCAAUUAAUCAACUAAAAAUUAUUUUCUAUCUGAAGAAAGGUAGAUAAACUCGAAGGACAAGAAGACCCUAUAGAGCUUAAUUUUAAAUAUGGGCCACUCCAUAUAAAUAUUCGGUUGGGGCGACCCAGGGCUAAAUAAUCACCCACAUUAUAAAAGAUAUAUUAAUCAAGUAAGUGACCCUCAAUGAUCACAAAACCAAGCUACCUUAGGGAUAACAGGCUAAUCCCACUUAAGAGUCCUUAUCAACAGUGGGGAUUGGCACCUCGAUGUUGGCUUAGGGUAUCUAUAUAGCGCAAAAGCUAUAUAAAGAUGGUUUGUUCAACCAAUAACACCCUACGU
rnacentral:rRNA from 1 species